AUUGAACGCUGGCGGCAGGCCUAACACAUGCAAGUCGAACGGUAACAGGAAGAAGCUUGCUUCUUUGCUGACGAGUGGCGGACGGGUGAGUAAUGUCUGGGAAACUGCCUGAUGGAGGGGGAUAACUACUGGAAACGGUAGCUAAUACCGCAUAACGUCGCAAGACCAAAAAGGGGGACCUUCGGGCCUCUUGCCAUCGGAUGUGCCCAGAUGGGAUUAGCUAGUAGGUGGGGUAACGGCUCACCUAGGCGACGAUCCCUAGCUGGUCUGAGAGGAUGACCAGCCACACUGGAGCUGAGACACGGUCCAGACUCCUACGGGAGGCAGCAGUGGGGAAUAUUGCACAAUGGGCGCAAGCCUGAUGCAGCCAUGCCGCGUGUAUGAAGAAGGCCUUCGGGUUGUAAAGUACUUUCAGCGGGGAGGAAGGGAGUAAAGUUAAUACCUUUGCUCAUUGACGUUACCCGCAGAAGAAGCACCGGCUAACUCCGUG
rnacentral:rRNA from 1 species